AGAGAUGUGUGAUGACGCAUAUCAAUAAGCGGAGGAAAAGAAACUAACAAGGAUUCCCUUAGUAACGGCGAGUGAAGCGGGAAGAGCUCAAAUUUGAAAUCUUCAAGGUUCUACCUUGACGAAUUGUAGUUUAUAGAAGUGUUUUCUGUUAGUAGAGUGGCAAAAGUUCUUUGGAAUAGGACAUCAUAGAGGGUGAGAAUCCCGUAUUUGGUCAUUCUACUAGCUUUGUGAUACACUUUCAACGAGUCGGAUUGUUUGGGAAUGCAGUCCAAAAUGGGUGGUAAAUUUCAUCUAAAGCUAAAUAUUGGCGAGAGACCGAUAGCGAACAAGUACCGUGAGGGAAAGAUGAAAAGAACUUUGAAAAGAGAGUUAAACAGUACGUGAAAUUGUCAAAAGGGAAGCGUUUGACACCAGUGUUGUUUUUCCGAAAAUCAAUUACGAAUGUUUUGUUUUUGAGAAGUUAUGACUUCAUCGGCUUGCUUCUCUCUUUACGAAACUUUCUUAAUGCACUUUUCGGUUAACAAGUCAACAUCAAUUUCUUUUGUUGUAAAAGGGUAUGAGGAAGGUGGCUUUCUUUUCGGAGAAAGUGUUUAUAGCCUUGUACCUCUGCAAUCGGAGAGAUUGAGGUCUGCAGCGUAGAUCCUUCGGGGUUAGAUACAUUUGUGCUAAGUUAUAGCUUUUCAUAGACAACUUGUUGACUAUGUUAAGUCUUGUAGCUUACUCGCUUAUGCUAUUUUACCUACGCUUAGGAUGUUGAUCUGUAGUGCGUGCGC
rnacentral:rRNA from 1 species